rnacentral:rRNA from 1 species
AUGUCGAGCUCGGCCACGGGUGCGCGGUCACAGGGAUCGAUGAGGCCGUCCUGGCCGCGUACACGACCACGGUGUACUCCUCGGCGGCGGACAUGCGACGGGGCGAAGGCCAUGGCUGCUGCGGAACCAUCGCCCGACGACAGGGACACGCACAUGACGUGCGCGGUGUGCCCGGCGGAGUACGCGGACGGCGACGAGCUCCGCCAGCUUCCUGGCUGCAAGCACGCGUUCCACCGGCUGUGCGUCGACGAGUGGCUCCAGCGGCGGCCGAGCUGCCCGCUCUGCCGCAUGUCGCCGCCUGCGGUCACCACCGAAGACUCCUGA